GACAGAGGGUGCAAACGUUGUUCGGAAUUACUGGGCGUAAAGCGCGUGUAGGCGGCAGGGCAUGUCGGAUGUGAAAUCCCGUGGCUCAACCACGGAAGUGCACCCGAAACUGCCCAGCUUGAGUCUCGGAGAGGAAGGCGGAAUGCUUGGUGUAGAGGUGAAAUUCGUAGAUAUUCGCAAGAACACCAGUGGCGAAGGCGGCUCACUGGCCCGGUACUGACGCUGAGGUGCGAAAGCGUGGGGAGCAAACAGG
rnacentral:rRNA from 1 species